UGCGAACGGCUCAUUAAAUCAGUUAUCGUUUAUUUGAUAGUACCUUUACCUACUUGGAUAACCGUGGUAAUUCUAGAGCUAAUACAUGCUAAAAGUCCCGACCUCUGGAAGGGACGUAUUUAUUAGAUAAAAAACCAAUGCCCUUCUGGGCUUCUUGGUGAUUCAUGAUAACUUUACGAAUCGCAUGGCCUUGUGCCGGCGAUGGUUCAUUCAAAUUUCUGCCCUAUCAACUUUCGAUGGUAGGAUAGUGGCCUACCAUGGUUUCAACGGGUAACGGGGAAUUAGGGUUCGAUUCCGGAGAGGGAGCCUGAGAAACGGCUACCACAUCCAAGGAAGGCAGCAGGCGCGCAAAUUACCCAAUCCCGACACGGGGAGGUAGUGACAAGAAAUACUGAUACAGGGCCCUUUCGGGUCUUGUAAUUGGAAUGAGUACAAUUUAAAGCCUUUAACGAGGAACAAUUGGAGGGCAAGUCUGGUGCCAGCAGCCGCGGUAAUUCCAGCUCCAAUAGCGUAUAUUAAAGUUGUUGCAGUUAAAAAGCUCGUAGUUGAACUUUGGGUCUGGGUGACCGGUCCCCCGAUAGGGUGUGUACUGGAAGCCCGGAUCUUUCCUUCUGGAGAACCUCAUGCCCUUCACUGGGUGUGUUGGGGAACUAGGACUUUUACUUUGAAAAAAUUAGAGUGUUCAAAGCAGGCUUUUGCUCGAAUACAUUAGCAUGGAAUAAUAAAAUAGGACGUGCGGUUCUAUUUUGUUGGUUUCUAGGACCGCCGUAAUGAUUAAUAGGGAUAGUCGGGGGCAUCCGUAUUCGAUUGUCAGAGGUGAAAUUCUUGGAUUUUUCGAAGACGAACUACUGCGAAAGCAUUUGCCAAGGAUGUUUUCAUUAAUCAGGAACGAAAGUUGAGGGAUCGAAGACGAUCAGAUACCGUCGUAGUCUCAACCAUAAACUAUGCCGACUAGGAAUCGGGCGAUGUUUUCAAUUUGACUCGCUCGGCACCUUACGAGAAAUCAAAGUUUUUGGGUUCUGGGGGGAGUAUGGUCGCAAGGCUGAAACUUAAAGGAAUUGACGGAAGGGCACCACCAGGAGUGGAGCCUGCGGCUUAAUUUGACUCAACACGGGGAAACUCACCAGGUCCAGACACAUUAAGGAUUGACAGAUUGAGAGCUCUUUCUUGAUUAUGUGGGUGGUGGUGCAUGGCCGUUCUUAGUUGGUGGAGUGAUUUGUCUGCUUAAUUGCGAUAACGAACGAGACCUUAACCUGCUAAAUAGCUGGGCUCGCGUUAGCGAGAUUCUGGCU
rnacentral:rRNA from 1 species